rnacentral:rRNA from 1 species
AUUGAACGCUGGCGGCAGGCCUAACACAUGCAAGUCGAGCGGGGUUUUCGGACCUAGCGGCGGACGGGUGAGUAAUGCGUAGGAAGCUACCCGAUAGAGGGGGAUACCAGUUGGAAACGACUGUUAAUACCGCAUAAUGUCUACGGACCAAAGUGUGGGACCUUCGGGCCACAUGCUAUCGGAUGCGCCUACGUGGGAUUAGCUAGUUGGUGGGGUAAUGGCUCACCAAGGCGACGAUCCCUAGCUGGUUUGAGAGGAUGAGCAGCCACACUGGAACUGAGACACGGUCCAGACUCCUACGGGAGGCAGCAGUGGGGAAUAUUGGACAAUGGGCGCAAGCCUGAUCCAGCCAUGCCGCGUGUGUGAAGAAGGCCUUCGGGUUGUAAAGCACUUUCAGUAGGGAGGAAGGGUGUUGUGUUAAUAGCACAGCAUUUUGACGUUACCUACAGAAGAAGCACCGGCUAACUCUGUGCCAGCAGCCGCCGCAGUAA